rnacentral:lncRNA from 1 species
AGCACAAGUGUACCGUAUCCACACACCCGCUUGGGAGAAAUUAUGAUGACCUCGAGGGGACCCUGAAAGGUCCUACUGAGUCAGCACCUCACAAGUCUUUCAGUGACACAUUCGGGACUCUGAUUCGGAUGAGCUGCUGUAGACUUGAGUGUCAUCUCAUCUCCCAGCGUCAUCAUUCUUGGCCUCAGGAGCGUGCUUCCCACUUCUGCCUGAUUCCCUCCUCUGGGAAGCUGAUACACCCACAGAGGACGUCUUUAAUGACUGCUCAGUGGAUUCUUGCUUAUCUGCUCUGAGGGAAAACGGAAGAACAGGCUACAAUCUCAAAUGGUAGAGGAUACAGAACUAAUUUGGAUUUGGCGAUGGCAUAUGUUUUUGUACUUGCAUCAAACCUGAGUGUUCUGAGUCUGGUGGUUUAGAGAUUUAUGGCUUUCCAGUCCAACUGAAGAAGUGAUUCCAGGGGACCCAGUUUUUCUCAAUAGUCUUGAAGCCCACCUUCCCCACUCAAUCUGUUCCCUGCUGAGGUGAGGCAGACAGAGCAGCCCUCGGACCGAUGUAUCACAUCGCCCGAGGACAGCUGGCUCCCUGCCUCUCUAAAUCCUAUUAUGGGACAUCCAUCUUAUCCUACCCUGGAAUGAGAGGAGCUG